UACAGAGGGUGCAAACGUUGUUCGGAAUUACUGGGCGUAAAGCGUGCGUAGGCGGUCUCGUAAGUCAGGUGUGAAAUCCCAGGGCUCAACCAUGGAAGUGCACUUGAUACCGCGAGGCUUGAGUAUCGGAGAGGUUGGUGGAAUUCCUGGUGUAGAGGUGAAAUCCGUAGAUAUCAAGAGGAACACCGGUGGCGAAGGCGGCCAACUGGACGAAUACUGACGCUGAGGCACGAAAGCGCGGGGAGCAAACAGG
rnacentral:rRNA from 1 species